rnacentral:snRNA from 1 species
GUGCUCUCCUCGGCAGCACAGAUUCUAAAACUGGAACGGAACAGAGAAGAUUAGCAUGGCCCCUGCACAAGGAUGACACGCAAAUUCAUAAAA